GGCCUGGGGCCUCCGGUCGUAGUAAAGCGGAGGCGGGUGGGGAGGCGGGAGCGAGAGCCCGCGGCGGGCGAGGCGAAGAUGGUGGCGGCUACUCCUCCUGUCAUACACGUGGACCUAACUGCACCAAAAGCUUUUCUAAGGAUAUUUGCUGAGAAGGAAGUUUUCCCGAGUGGGUAAGUGUAUAUUUGAAUUUUACUUGUUAACUUUUUAAAAACCGAUUUUUCUUGACUUUACUCUUUCAUUUAAAGAAAUAAUAUGGGAUUGGGUUUUCAAAUAGUGAAGUAGGUAUUUUGUUCUCUGUUCAUUGUUUUCUGUUUUGUUUUUCGAAAACUUAGUUUGGGUUAUAGCUAAUGUGUAAGUUAGUAAAAAAUAUAACGCAAAUACCAUUGUAAGUCUUUGCAAACUGAUACAAAAAAUUUAGAACUGCUUUAAAUUGAAUGACAAAAUAGAUGUACACUGGAGUAAGUUUUCAAGCUUAAAAUAAGUUAUCUGAGACAUUUAACUUCUAAAACUAGCUGAUAUACUUGAAAUGUAGUCUGAACGGUAAUUUUAUUAAUCAGUUUACCAAGUAAUUGCUAAUUGGAAGCCAGAAGAAAAGAAAAAUGUUUUGCCACGUGGAUGUGAAGAUUUCCUCUGAAAGGUAUAUGACUCAAAUUACCUUGGUGAUACGCAGUAUGAUUUUGGUUUUUCUUAAGUAUGCCUUUGGGAAUGGCAAAGGAAAAGAAGAGCUACCACGUUCUUAUAAAUAUGGUGAUUAAUUAUAAGUGUCUUAAUAAACCUUUUCUAGUUUUGAGGUCUAAAUUUGCUUUUAAAUGCAGCUGGAAGGUUUGAGAUGAUUUAACUCAUUUUCUCUUCCCUAUUAGGGUUUAUGCUCAAUGUUUUGUGCUUUACAUAAAUGUUAGAGUUUGAGGUGUUAUUUCAUCUGUUUAUUUAUUUCGAAUUUAGCAGGAAUAAAGAACAUCACCUUGUAAACUGAAGAUUGAGACGAGUCAGAAUAAUGUCAAAGUGCUUACAGUGCAGUUUUGCAGGUUUGCAUCCAGCUGUGUGAUAUUCUGCUGUGCAAAUCCAUGCAAAACUGACUGUGGUAGUGAAAAGUCUGUAGAAAAGUAAGGGAAAAUCAAACCCCUUUCUACACAGGUUGGGAUCAGUUGCAAUGCUGUGUUUCUGUAUGGUAUUGCACUUGUCCCGGCCUGUUGAGUUUGGUGGGGAUUGUGACCAGAAGAUUUUGAAAAUUAAAUAUUGCUGAAGAUUCAACUUCCACUUUUAACCGUUCCAGAAAUAAAGUAUCGAAAAAGAAGAUGUGUAAUCAUUCUGUGUAAAAGUUCACAUACAUAUCUGUGUGUAAAAUAUAUAUUAACCACAUACAGCUUUUCCUUGAAGUUGUUUUGUCAUAUUUUUGUACUAAAACAUUCUUCUAAGAUUGCAUGUUGUAUAUGAUAUUUUUUUGGUCAAAUUUGAUUUACUUAGUUAACAAAUUAACAAUUUGUAAGGGAAAUUUAUUUUGAUAAUCUGUAAAGUGAGGAUAUAUGCCUUUUGCUUACUUUGGACCUGGAAUUCAGGACAUUUUACUUAACCUCUAAAAGGCAAUAACUUUUGUUGCUUAACAUUCAAAUAUUUAAAUUUGGUGAAAAUGCCAUUCUGUUUAAAGCAUUGUGUAAAGAAAGUUGUUCUGUUAUUGUUUAAGCAUGAAAUUUAAAUUUGGGAGGGGUGGGUUGUCUUGUUGCUAGUAAACAAAUACUAUUUUGUCAGUACUGGUGUUCUCCAUGUAUAACUGUUAACUGGUUAUUUGCAAGUUUUUUUAGUAAUUGUUAAUGAUGUAUAAACUGUCAGUGAUCCUUAGAUUGUUCUUCGCUUUCUGGAACAUAAAACAGUAGUUGAAAAGAAAACAAGAUAUGCUAAUGCUGAAUGGAGUUGACAAGUAUGUGUGUCUGUAGGUCUUAAUGCCAAGAGUGUGAGUGGGAAUCUGAAAUUAGUUUUUGUUUAAAGUCUGUAGUUAACGUUUCUGUUCCCUACUACCUUCAUAAAGCAGACUUUGGCAACAAGUGGAACCUAAGUAGAGGCAGGCAGAGCAACAUCUCUGCCUCUUCUCCUGUGUGUUUUGUCUCUAAUUUGGGUUUCAUAUGUGGUAGAAAAAUGUGGGUUAACUUAAGAAUGAUUAUGUUUUAAAUGAUCAGUUGUUAAAAUUGGACCCAAGUUAAAUUUUGUAAGAAGGAUGCUGUCUUAGUAAUAUGGAAUAAAUUAACAUGUAACCUCAAUGUGUCACCCAAUACAUUUUGAGAACAUCCUUUUAAAAUGCAUUGUGUGAAGUUGAACAAAAGUUUAACCCCUUGUGUGUCCCUUCUUUAAGAAAUAUAAAGAGCUUAAUUAAGGAUCCCUGAAUAGAAAAGGUAAGAAUUUCACAGUUCUGGAGUUCAUUAAAAGGUAAAUAAUUUCCAGAAUGAGAGAAAACUACUAAGAAUGAUGUAGUGCUUACAAAAUGGAAAUCUAACUGUCCAUUAGUUUGAGUUCUUAAACCUUUUGAAUUGGAAGGAAACCUAAAAAUUGUUUUUGUGUUUAAUGACAAACUGCUUUAAACUGUGCUUUAAAAGUCCCAUAAUGUUAGCAUGGCUUACAGUACUCUACAAAAUGGUGUGCUAUAGGUUAAAAGGGGAAAGAGGAUGUUUACAUGUACCAGAUCAUAUAAUUUUAUUUUUAAAGCUUUGGGGAAAAUACUCUAGGGUUAUUGUUCAAAGUGAAACAAUGAUAAGCCUGUCAGAUGAUUCUUAAAUGUGCUAAACCAUAAGUCAAGUAACUAAACAAAAGAAUUGUUACGUUAAAAGAUAAGUCUUCCUAGAUGCUGAAUUUGUGUAGUACUUACAUUCAGAACUUAGUUGAACUGUUAAUCAGGGAGAACGUUUUAUGUGGGCAUUGGCAGUGGGGCUGUGGUUGUUUAGGGUUUAGUAAGUAGGAAUUGCAUCUGAUUCUGGGUGAAAUACCUGGCAAAUUUUGUAUGCUUGUGUCUAAAGAUUUCUGAGGUGUGUACAACAUACUCUUCAAAUAACACUAAAGAAAAGACAUACAAAUAACAAAGGUUAACAUUCAGCCAUUUUGAGAUAUCAGUUAGGGCACAAGUUGAUUAUAGCUAAUGAUUGCCUCAUAUAUAAUUGACCUGGGGAAAACUGCUCUGGCCAUCUUUUCUCAGUGUUGAGAAAACCUUGAAAUUCCUUAAAGUUUCAAAUUUGAUAGCCUUAAGACUGUUUUCAGAAAAAAUAAAUCUAAUAAUACUCUUUUGCAUGUUAUUCAUAUCUGAUUCUCCAGUUUGCGUGUUUAAAAAGGAAAGUAACAGUUUUACAAGUUAUUCUUUGUCAAAGCUGCUUGCAAAGUAGUGGUGAUUUUACUAAAAACUUCUGAGAUCUUCAUUUUACAGGCAAACCUAUCUAAGCAGACCAAACCAGACUUGAGGGUUUUCCCUGUAUUUUGAAGAGCCCUACAGAAUGAUUCGUGAUAAAAAGCAACCUACAACUACUGGAGGAAAAUUUGGUGUCACAUUAAAGUUUGCUGUGUAUUUAAUGAAGUACUGUUCUGAAUUGAUAACCUUGGGGUGGUUUGUCUAGCAUCAGAAUUAGGAGCCUCUGAGCUGAGCAGUAAAGGUAAGGAGGGCUCAGUGUACAAGGUCAGUUUUUGUUGUCCAACUGGAAGUCCUACCAUGCCUACUUGAAGACAGCACAUUCCUCUUUGCCUUGGAGGUUGUUGAGCUUUCAUUGUACUUAAAGACUGAAUACAGUUUUCUGUUUUGUUAAGGUAAAUUCAGGAUGUAAUAGUCUUACUGAGUUUUAAAGGGUAACAAAGUUGGGCAUACCCUGUAAAUUUUCAGGCCAUAGAAAAAUCAGUGAAGGCUUAGUUUUCUAAUUUAGCGUAUAUAGCAUUCAGAGAUGCUGAUGUAUUUGCAACUAAGUCGUGCUGUUGGAAUUGUUUUGGUGCUUUCAAUGUAAAUAAAUAUAUGCAUUUUAAAACUACUUGUUAAAUUUCCCAGAAUGAUAAUUUUGAAAUAAAAAUUUUAAGGUUAUGCUUGGUUGUAAUUUCUCUGGCGUUUUUUGUUACUAUAAAACAUCCAAACACCUUUCCUUAUUAAUUGAGGUAACUGGGGGAGAGGGAACAGGUGUACCUUAACUUUGGUAUCAGUGGCAUCUGUGUUUGUAUCCUGAUUUUACAGAUAAGAGAAUGUGAUGAGCAAAGUUUAUUUGCAAGGAUAUGAAGCUGGUAAAUAGGCUCUGAAUUUAAACCCAUGUUGAUAAACUAUGAAAAAGACAGUAAAGUUGCAAUUCCAGUCACAUGUGGUUUUGAAUACUUACUAAAAAAUAUGUAAUUGCUAGCAGAUUUCCUCCUUAACAAGGUUAAGUAACAUGGUAUGGAGGUAAAGAACAAAAACCCAAAGUUGGCAGUUUAAUGACAUCAAAUUACAUGGUCAGUGUAGUAUCACCAUUCUUAAUAACUGUGAUUAACAUAUACUCAUUUUAUGUUUACUUGU
ensembl:lncRNA